rnacentral:misc_RNA from 1 species
GAUGAAGAACGUAGCGAAAUGCGAUAAGUAGUGUGAAUUGCAGAAUUCAGUGAAUCAUCGAAUCUUUGAACGCACAUUGCACCCUUUGGUAUUCCUUAGGGCAUGCCUGUUCGAGCGUCAUUUAAACCUUCAAGCUCAGCUUGGUGUUGGGUGACUGUCCGCUUCACCGCGGACUCGCCUCAAAAUUAUUGGCGGCCGGUACAUUGGCUUCGAGCGCAGCAGAAACGCGAACUCGGGCCCGUCGUAUUGGCUCCCAGAAGCUAUCUUCACAAUUUUGACCUCGGAUCAGGUAGGGAUACCCGCUGAACUUAAGCAUAUCAAUAAGCGGAGGA